CUCCAAGCCCCUGCUCAAGACAGGCAUAACCCCACAUUAGGUGGCACCACCAGGGCUUCACCUAUGUGAGUUUCAAAUAGCCCCAAGACUGGAAACUCCUCUCCACAGCUUUCCUCUGUCCCUGCACACUCAGCCACUCUGCGAACAUGCCAGACGGACACCGUCGGAGGCUCCGGGGAUGAGCCGUGCGCAGGGAGGGAGCAGCUUUGAUUAAGUGGAUUACGCUGGAAAUAAGCAGCAGACAAAGCACUGAAAUGUUGACAUGAGCUACAGCAAUGAGAAACGGCAGUGAUUAAUAAGCCGCAGUACUGUAACUAAUCAGUGUUUGCAAGCACUUUGGACCUGGAAAGCAUCUGCUGAGAACUGUUCGCUGUGAACAUUUCCUGCACCGUGUUGACAAAUCGUAUCAAAUCUUCCCAACAGCGAGAGGGGACGGUGUUUCCUCUGGUGGAAGGGACAUGCUGCUGGUGAUUCCUUCAGCCUCAAUCCAACCCAUACAAAUUUUUCACCUCCUACAUCAAAUGCAUUGCGACCUGCUUCCUCCAGCCACAGACACCGACUGGGGAAAACUUGGCACCGAGAGCCCGCUGCAGUAAGUUCCAGGAAUGGAGCAGACGGUUGCCAGACCGUGGUAUGCAACGUUUACCCCUUGAAAAUCUUUAAAGAAUUUAAACUUUGCACAGACGUUUUAAGCAGACCCAGCUGCCAAUUCCACAUGAGACAGUCUUAAGAUAAAUGGAUGUUUGUAAUCACCCCGGCGCUGGCGAGGGAAAUGCACCGCCAUUCAGGUAAGCAGCUUAUUCAAUUUACCACUGCGUGGGGCUGCCCUGGGUGAUUGCACUGCAGGGCUCACCCACGUCUGUCCACACGUUCUCACAGUGCCACUUCUCCCGCGCUCAACGCUGCAAUUAGCUUGAUUUAUAUUAAACAUUGUUACCGCUCCCUUUUCCUACGCUCCCAUCGUCGGGAAGCCUGGAGAGUUUUGACAGGGGCAAACCAUAACUAACAGGAGCAGAAAACAGUCCAGCGGC
rnacentral:lncRNA from 1 species